rnacentral:rRNA from 1 species
AUUGAACGCUGGCGGCAGGCCUAACACAUGCAAGUCGAACGAGUGGCGGACGGGUGAGUAAUGUCUGGGAAACUGCCUGAUGGAGGGGGAUAACUCCUGUAAACGGUAGCUAAUACCGCAUACCAUCGGAUGUGCCCAGAUGUGAUUAGCUAGUAGGUGGGGUAAAGGCUCACCUAGGCGACGAUCCCUAGCUGGUCUGAGAGGAUGACCAGCCACACUGGAACUGAGACACGGGCCAGACUCCGACGGGAGGCAGCAGUGGGGAAUAUUGCACAAUGGGCGCAAGCCUGAUGCAGCCAUGCCGAGUGUAUGAAGAAGGCCUUCGGGUUGUAAAGUACUUUCAGCGGGGAGGCGUUAACCGCAGAAGAAGCACCGGCUAACUCCGUGCCAGCAGCCGCGGUAAUUC